rnacentral:rRNA from 1 species
UUAGUGAAGCCGCGAAUUAGCUCAUUUACAACAGCCAUCGUUUAAUGGAUAUAUUUUUACAUUGGAUAACUGUGGUAAUUCUACAGCUAAUACACGCAUCAAAACCCAACCUUACGGUGGGGUGCGUUUGUUACUUCAAACCAAUCGGACUUCGGUCUGAAAUCAAGUGAUAUUGAACAAUUUAGCUGAUCGCACGGUCUGAGAACCGGCGACAUAUCCUUCAAAUGUCUGCCUUAUCAACUUUCGAUGGUAGAUUACGCGCCUACCAUGGUUGUAACGGGUAACGGAGAAUCAGGGUUUGAUUCCGGAGAGGGAGCCUGAGAAACGGCUACCACAUCCAAGGAAGGCAGCAGGCACGCAAAUUACCCACUCCCGGCACGGGGAGGUAGUGACGAAAAAUAACAAGCUGGUCUCUAUGAGUUCCGGCAUUGUAAUGGGAACAAUUUAAAUCAUUUAUCGAGGAUCUAUUGGAGGGCAAGUCUGGUGCCAGCAGCCGCGGUAAUUCCAGCUCCAAUAGCGUAUAUUAAAGUUGUUGCGGUUAAAAAGCUCGUAGUUGGAUCUUGGAUUAGGGCUACGGUCGUUCAGCUUGGACGUACUGUAUGUCCGACUCCUUUUCUCCAGUAUUCGAUUGUUGCUCUUAAAUGAGUGACUCUAGUUGCUGGAACUUUUACCUUGAAAAAAUUGAAGUGCUCAAAGCAGGUUUCUGCCUGAACAUUGCUGCAUGGGAUAAUAGAAUAGGAUUUCCGGUCCUAUUUUGUUGGUUUCGGGACACGAAAUAAUGAUUAAUAGGGACAGACGGGGGCAUUUGUAUUGCUGCGUUAGAGGUGAAAUUCUUGGAUCGUAGCAAGACAAACUACUGCGAAAGCAUU